rnacentral:piRNA from 1 species
UGUGAACAAAGCUAGGCUAGACGA